rnacentral:snoRNA from 1 species
AAGACUAUACUUUCAGGGAUCAAUUCUAUAGUUGUUACUAUUGCAGUGAAUUGUUGUUCAAAAGAUAUGGCUGAUUUUCCCUGCCACAGCUGGC